UAAUCUUGCGACCGUACUUCCCAGGCGGCAUACUUAACGCGUUAGCUCCGGCACAGGAAGGGUCGAAUCUUCCCACACCAAGUAUGCACCGUUUACUGCCAGGACUACCGGGGUAUCUAAUCCCGUUCGCUCCCCUGGCCUUCGUGCCUCAGUGUCAGUAACUGUCCAGUGACCUGCCUACGCCUUUGGUAUUCCUCUCGAUAUCUACGCAUUUCACUGCUACACCGAGAAUUCUAGUCACCCCUCCAGUACUCUAGCACAGCAGUAUCGGAUGCAAUUCCAAGGUUGAGCCCUGGGCUUUCACAUCUGACUUACCAUGCCACCUACGCACCCUUUACGCCCAGUGAUUCCGAACAACGCUUGAGACCUCUGUAUUACCGCGGCUGCUGGCACAGAGUUAGCCGUCUCUUCCUCUUGCGCUACCAUCAAUCUACCCAGGUAUUAUCCAAGUAGCCUUGUUCGCGCAUGACAGGAGUUUACAAUCCGAAGACCUUAUCCUCCACGCGGCGUCGCUCCAUCAGGGUUGCCCCCAUUGUGAAAGAUUCUCGA
rnacentral:rRNA from 1 species